ACUCUUCAUUCCUUUCUGGUUAUAAUUUUAAAAAUGACAUUUGGGUAACUUCAGAGGUAUAACAGAUGGCAUCAUUAGCUAUGAUUUUAAAAUCCUUCUGUGCAAUGCCUUUAGAUAUCAUUCUUAAAAUUACUAUUGAAUUGAUUUAUCAAAGAGAUCUCCAUUAAAAAGCAAGAAGAACCUGACCAGAUGUCUGCAGUGAGUUCUGAUGGUCUGAUAGACCGUUUUCUCUUCUGAAGUUCCAUAGGAAAGAGAAGGAAAGAAUACUUCUAGCCCAGAACAGCAAAAUGUUAAGAGCACACAUUGAAAAUAUGUGACCUAUUACUCUGAGCUUAAGAUAUUCACAACUUUCAGGAAUGAUGAUUUAGAGGAAGUCAAACCAAUUGAUGUUUUCUUUGGUAGUUUUACAGCAAUUGUAUUGCACUGAAUUACCAGAUAAGGUGAUUUAUUUAUAAUUAUUUUUAUUUAGAAAGAUUUUUAUAGUCUUCCCACAAGGCAAAAUAAUUGUUCUAAUGCUUAUUUUUUAAAAGGGAGCAAGUCAGAAAUUCUUGGAGGAAAAGGAGAGAGAAGAUGGAAUGAAGUAAUAAGGGGCAUCAUAAGUAGAGCUCUAGUUCAAGUUGGGAAAAAUAGGAAAGACAAAGUUUCUCGCCUUCACACCAAGAGCUCUAAGGGUGUCCAGCUUGAGGGACAGGGGCAGUGAACUUCUGACCAACCCAUCACUUGGACCAAACAGUUGCCUGCAUUCCCUUUUCUUUGAGAUUAUUAGAUUGUGUUUGAGAUAUCUAGUGACCUGGGAAAGCCAGGGGUAAUUCAGUUCUCUCUGUUAACUUCUUUUGCUGUUUUUAGUAACUGUAGUAAUCUCCACCUCUGCACCCCCAAACUCUAUACUGAUGAGAGAUGCAGCAUGUUAAGGACAUCUAACUAUUAAUAGUUGUCAGACAGUCUGCUUUGCCAGUUGCAAAUUGUUUGACCUUUAGCAAGUGGUUUUAUUUGGGGGAGUAGCAGAAGCCUCAUUUUUUUUCUUUUCAUCUGUAAAACUUGGAUUUGGUAAUGGAGUUUCAUUGAUUCUUUGCUCAUUUUCCUUAAAUGCAAUUAGACUACAAAAUCUUCACUUGCUUCUACCUGUCUUUGAACAAAGGAUUCAAAAAUUUCAAUGAAAGUUUCUAUCAUGAAUUAAGAUAUGCUACCUAUGCCAAUAAUAACAGUGUAUGCUAUAUGGUGUAUGGUAUAUAGUACCUUAAAUAUGGGAAAAUCUGAGGUUUUUAGAUAAUGAUGUAGGGCAUUUUAAUAACUUCAAGAUUAACACAUCAAUUACCAUAAGUUAUGGACUCUAGUUUGCAGGACUUUCCUGGGAUUUCUUUUCUCAGCCUAUCUGGGUGUUUCUGCCUCACUUCCUGACAGCAAUUGAAUCCUCACCCAUCGCUGUAAUGUAGUGACCUGAGUAGAGAGCAGACUGUUCCUGUUAGAACUGUGGUUCAGUGAAUUAGUGUGAAGUCCAUGCAAAAAUAACCUAGGUUUUUGUGGGGUUACAGGACUCUCCUAAUGGUUGGUCAUCAUCUGGAUAAAUACAUUUGGUUUCCAUGGUCCUAAAAAAUGGAAGAGUCUUAGCAAAGAACUCAGCUGCUCCUAUUUCAGGACUGUUAAGUGUUCCAUCAUUUAGAGUAAAUCAGGGAGUUCUGUUUUGAGCCAGGAAAGAAGGAGACUGAAUGUGUACAUCAUGAUUUGGAAAGUCAGUCUUAGUUAAUCUUCAACCCACAGCAAUACCCGGAUGGGCUCAGGUCAGAUGAGUGUCCAUGAAUUGCUUUUGUGAAUGCAUGAGUCUCUUGGAUUCAGUCAUCAUCAUAUUAGUACUUAUUGCACUAAAUUCUUAAAUUUUACAAAUGGCUGAAUUAAAAAUAUACAACAUGCAUGAAUUUCAAAAGGGGGAUCCCAUAAGUAGAAAACCCUAAGCAUAAAACUUUGUGCAUAAUCUUGAAAGUCUAAUUUAAAGAUAUUAGCUAUAGAGAAUCUGGAAAUGUUAUUUAACUACUGCUACUGCUGCUGCUGCUAAGUCGCUUCAGUUGUGUCCAACUCUGUGUGACCCCAUAGAUGGCAGCCCGCCAGGCUCCCCUGUCCCUGGGAUUCUCCAGGCAAGAAUACUGGAAUGGGUUGCCAUUUCCUACUCCAAUGGAUGAAAGUGAAAAGUGAAAGUGAAGUUGCUCAGUCUGCAGAACUCAUCAAAUAAAUAUACAUAUUUCCCCAUGUUAAGAUUUGCUUAGACAGUGUGCAUUUUGAAUCCUGCAGAAAUAUCAAGAAGUAAGCUUCAUAGUGUAUUAACAACUGAUAACAGCAGAUACAGGCUUCCUCGAUGGUUCAGUGAUAAAGAAUCCACCUGUAAUGCAGGAUACUUAGGAGACGUGGGUUCAAUCCCCGGCCAGGAAGAGCCCCUGGAGGAGGAAAUGGCAACAGACUCCAGUAUUCUUGCCUGGAAAAUCCCAUGGACAGAGGAGCCUGGUGGGUUAUAAUCCAUGGGAUGGGAAACAGUCAGACACGACUGAGCAACUGAACAUGCAGACGCAUAGCAGAUAUAAUCAUGGAAAACAUGAGUAAGUGUUUAUUCUUUGCUGCAUAAAGGAUAACUGGUAAGAAAAAAUCUGAAAUGAAAAUAAUUCCAACACCCGCUCUUCUGAAAUGGAGUUCUCUUUUUUUAGAGUUUGCUGUGGUCUGUGCCUUAACACGUUCUAAUGUAUUUGAAUUGCUACUAAAAAGAAACUAAGUUCUUGUUAGAAUUUAAAACACAAGGAUCCAUUUCUGCCUAACAAUCUUGUAGCUGCGCAUUCCCUGAAGUGUAUCCCAUCUGCUUUGGGGAGCUCUCAUUGCAAUAUGCGGUGAUUGCAGGAUAAGCACACCAUUUUCCUGUCAAUACUUUCCUAUUAGCCUCCUGGAUCCAUACAUCAUCAUCUUGCUGGCCUGCAGUUUGCUUAUCUUUGUCUCUGAGGCUGCCUUUGAUUUAUCUAACACCCAAGCUAAUGAGGCAUGGAGCCCAGGGUGGCUCCAAGGAUAAUGCACUCCUGUAUAAAAAUGCUUAAGGAAGGAUCAAGUGCUAAUCCAUCCUAGACUAAAAGGCCUAGUCCUUCAACAAACGUUGUAUUUCUUAAUCGCUAAACUAAGACUGUAAUAGCUCCCUUUAAGCUACUACCAUUGGUAAAACUAUACACACUAAAUACAUGCAAUUUACCAAAAGAACUGAAAAUUGGAUUUUAAUUUGUGCUUCAAAAAAAAAAAAAAGCCAAAAAAUAGUUUCUGUUUUAGCAACAGUUAUCACCAUUAUUUGACAGCACUCUUAUGCAAAAAUAAGUUAGCUUUAAUAUUUAAUUUACUGUAAUAGUUUUAUAUUCCCUCUCUGGGACCUAUGUUUUUCUGAAGACAAAAAUAACAGAAGCUACUAUGUUACUGUGGCAAGGAUGAAUCAAGCCAGCUAUUUCAAUAAUGGAGGUAAUUACAAAGUGUACAUAUCUGAAAUGUACCCAGUGGUUAGGGGUUAUUUAAUUAACAUGAAAAUUUCAGUAUUGGUAACAAGUGUGUUAAUAUCACAAAAGCAUUGUUAUAAUGUAUUUGAAAAUAGUAAUGAUUUUCACCAUUUUAAUUAUACACAUUUUAGUCUUGAAAACACUUUUUACUGAUACAUGGUUGAUUCUACAGCAUUGCAGCUAUAUAUAGAACAGCAUAAAAAAAGCUAGAGACUAUUAAUUUGGUCAAAUUAAAUAACUAACCUAGAAACAUAGGCACAAAAUAUUUGUCUUAAAAAUAAUGUCCAAAUGGGAUAUGUAUAUUAAUGUAUGCAUAGAAAAUACCCAAAUAUCUACUCUCUUUAUUUUUCUUAAAGUAUAAAUUCAAUGUGCAGAGAUUUUCUUAAAAUAUUUUGCUCAUUCUAUUAAUCACAUGCAAGGAGAAGUAGGUUGUGAAAAAUUCUUCCCUUUAUAAAUCUUUUGCCUGAAUUAGGUUGAAAACAAUUCUGUUUAAAAGCAAAUACAGAAGGAAGGAAGAGAGGGAGAGAGGGCAAGAAGAUAUGAGAGAGAGGAAGAGAGAGAGGAGGGGAAAAAAGCCAUCCUGCAACUAAAUCGUGGUAAAUGUCCCAGGAGAGGAAAGGUUUACCGAAUCACGGUGCAAUGAGAAAAUCCUUCACCCACUGGUUCACUCUAAGCCCUGAGGACCUGACCAAGGUAAUAAGUCCUUUUAUUGGUCACUAACCAACAUUAUUGAGAACCCGGGUGGAAUUUAAUGAUGUGACAUUAUUAGGAAUUGUUAUUCAGAUGUAAAUGAUCUUCAGUUGGUUUAUUUAAGUCACAUAAAGAACCUAGUUUAGAAUGAAAAUUACUUAUUGAUUAUUAGAGCAAUUAACAGAAUAAAUUUUAGUGCUGGUAUUAACAUUUUCCUAAAGUCCAAAACUGUUGCUACUUAAACUCAGCAGAACACUUAAUAGGUCUGGGACUCAAAGAUUAUCUUCUUUGGGGAGAUUUAUCCUUAAAGGAUUCUUUUAAAAAACCAAGAGACCAGUUGCCAAAAUCCAUUAUAAAAUAUUUGAAGUGCUUCCAUUUUGGCUUUUAGUAGGGGAGAAAAAACCAUGCCAGAAUAAGAUGGAGCUGCAUAAACUUAAUUGCUUGAGUAAAAGGAUGAAAUAUUCCAUUUUUGCUCUAUUAAAUAAAAAACAAAACCUUUGAGGUCAAUUAAAGUGAUAUCUGUGUUGUAGAUUUCCUAUUUCCUUUCCUUUUGCUAAUAUCCUUCAGUCAGUCAGAAUCAUUCGUCAUUUAUGGGGCUGACUUUCCUUAAUUAUAAUUUUUUCUCUUUCAGUUGUCUUCAUUUUAAAAAGAGGAUCACUUCUUAGAAUAUGGCUUUUGUCAGAAGUGAUCAUUCUUUCUGUGAUUUUCAAGAAGUAGCAAUAGUGUAUACAGUUAUAUACACAAAGGUAUACAGUAGAGCUCAAUGAAGGCAUAAAUUCAAUACCCAAAUCUUUAAAAGCUAUUUGAAUUAUUUUGAUGUCAAGGGUAAAAGUUCUUUUGAUUUCUUAAAAAAAAAAAAAAAUUUUAUUGCCACUAGCCUCAUCCCAGUGUACCAGCCCAUCCAUGCCAGUGUACUGGAUAAUCUUCAAAGGGAAUUUCUAAGAGGGCUAAUCCAUUAAUUGAUAUCAUAUUCUAUAUUCCUAAGAGCUAUUACAGAUGCUUGAGUGAGAAUGUGGGCUAAAUUAUUGUAUUGGUUUCUUGGUGCUGCUAUAACAAAGUGAUUAACACAAUAGAAAUGUAUCUUUUCACAGUUUGGAGGUUACACAUCCAAAAUCAAAGUGUCAGCAGAGCUAUGUUCCUUCUGACGGUUCUAACCAAGAAUUCUUUGCAGCUUCUACUACUACCUGCUAGCUUCUAGUAGCUUCUGUGAAUCCUUGGCAUUUCUUGUCUUAUAGCUGCAUCACUGCAGUCUCUACACGUGCCUUCACAUGACCUCUGUGUGUUUCUGUGUCUUUAUGUCCUCACCUGUACUUAUGUGAACACCAGGCAUCGGAUUCAGGGUCCACCCUAUUCCAAUAUAUUGAAAAUGAAAAUGACUGAGCGACUAAGCACAGCACAGCACAGGGAUAAUUAGGGGAUUAUUGAUUCUUACUUAUUCUUUGCAUUACGAUUUUGCAAAAGAUAUGUUCUAACACAGAUGACAUUACAGUUUCUACCUUAUUCAUUUUUAUUUUUUAAGAAUUGAGUUGCAUGAUGGAGCCAGGCUACUUCAUGAGAUUCUUAAAGAUUAAUAAUAAAAUAGACAAACCAGGUGGAGAAUAAAAACUGCUUCACUCAUUAGAGCAUACACAAAUCCUUAAUUUUAAUGGAAAUUUCAUUUGAGUCAGCAAAAAAUAUACAUGGGCCUUUGUUCUCUGAAUCAGUCUAAGAACAUGAGGUCAAUAACAGACAAUUAAGCAACUGUCACUUUCCUAUAACUCUAUCCAUCAGGGGAAAAAAAAAAGUGCAAUUGCAUACUUGUAUUACACUUAUUUAGAGUUCUGAAACUACAGUUAUUAUAAAAUAACAUUGUCAGUGGUGACCUGGCUCAUUUGCGUAUUUAUCUUAUUUAACAACAAGCUUCAUUGGUUUUUUCAAUACUUCAGGAUAAGAUUGUCUUAUAUCAUGGGGAGAAAAUUUGCUCAGAGCACCAGAGGAAACCUUAAUUUCAUGACUCUGAGUGUUUUUUAACCAUCGAAGGUAGACUUGUUUCUUUUAUACAAUAAAGACAAGUGUGUCUUCAGAUGAUUUCUGAACUAAUAUUUUUUCAGUCUACAUAAUACCUUAUAUUAGAUAAAAAUUGCUCCAUGUUAACCAUAAGCAUUAUUAAUUAAAAACCACAUGCUUAGUAAUGAGUCUGUAGGGUUUGUCUUCCUGCCAGGAGAGGGACGAGUCCCUGGAUAGAAGAUGUCACAACGACUAAACUGAUGCUGUGCUCUUUGCCAAAAGGUCAAGAAGUAAGGCAACCAGUUGGCUGGAAUUUAGCAACCAGUCAAAUGGUUUGGUCCCUGCUGGAUGUAAAGUAAUGGAAUGGGUGCCAUGGGGGGUCCUCUGCUUCACACAACAAAGGGUUCAAAAUUUAAUGAGGAAAAAGGACCAUUGAAAGUGGAAGUAACUGAAAAUACAACAGAAAUGAUGAAGAAAGGAUUAUUUUUAGUAAUUAAACAUUCCAGUUAGGUACCAUAAAUAACAAAAUUCAUGUCAUUAAAAAUUCUUCUCUGGGCACGUUUUUGCAUUACGACUAAAAUCUAGAUUAUUUUUGGUCAUCCUUAAUGGAUGCUGCUGACUGCCUGCCCAGAAGCUGUUCCUCUUUCUUCCAAAUGGGAUUUUCUGUUCGGGCCCUAACUUCUAUCUCACCCUAUAAGGAAGAGAUUAUCAUUGGAGGCAAUUAUGUACUAGAUUUUAUAUAGCAUUUUUAUUUGAUGCAAGUAUGAUUCUCAUAUCAUGUGACCUCUCUGAUAGCUGACUGGUUUACCAAGUUCACUGUCCAUUGAAGAAGGUUCAGUAUCUAUACUUUGUAGCAUCUGAGUUUACUCCACCACCCAGAUUAGUUGUAAUUUAUUUUAAUUACCUUACAUUUUCAUUUUUCUCAGCAACAAAAUGGGCUUAAUCCUACUUCUUUCACAAAGAUGCACAGUUAAAUAACAGGCAAUCUCUAUAAAUUCUUUGGUGUUUUUUUCCAUUUUAUUUUAUUUGCUUAUUUACUUUUGGCCACACCACGCAGGCUUGAGGGAUCUUAGUUCCUGACCAGGGAUCAAACCCACGCCCCCUACAGUGGAAGCACAGAAUCCUAACCCCUGGGCCACCAGGGAAGUUCCUUGUUUUUUGAUGGAUUUUUUGUUUUGUUAUUUUAAAUCAAAGUUACAGUACAAUAUGAUGUUGUAUAGUCAUAUAUUGUUUUUAAUCUAAUGGGAAGCCGCAUUCUUUCAAUUCUAACACAUAAAAAGAAUUUUUUUAUGUAUCAUGUACUUGAUAUAAAUAGAAAAUCUGGACUUCAGCUUAUGGCUGAUAAGAUCCCCCAAAUCUGAAAAAAACAAUCCUUCAACCAUUCUACUUAGCUUUUGCUUUUUAACCAAAGUCUAGCAUAGAUCAUGUUGAUUCAGGAGGAAAAAAAGUGAGGCCUGUAGCUAUGCACCAGGCUGGACGAACUGCUUUAGCCCAAAGAUGAGAAGGCAGCACCUGGCCCAUAGCCAUACAGAACAGAAGCGCACGCACAUGAGUGCCCGUGUGCGUGAACCUUGCCCCUCCGGCAGUGAUUCCAGCUACCAGCAGCAUACCUGCAUGCUCAGUUGUUCGACCGUGUCUGACUCUUUGCGACCCUGUGGACUGCAGCCCCUCAGGCUUCUCUGUCCACAGGAUUAUCCAGGCAAGAAAAUUGGAUUAUCCAGACCAUUUCCUCUUCCAGGGGAUCUUCUUGACCCAGGGAUGGAACCUGCGUCUCCUGCAUUGACAGGUGGAUUUUUUACCAUUUGAGCCACCAGGGGAGCCCAGCCACCAGCAGAGUGGGCUCCUUUCCUCUGCUGGUUCUGUGACUUUUUCCCAGGCUGACCUUUUCUUACUGCAAAUUCAGUAUCCAUAUCCCAUAUUUGUACAGUAUUGUAACCUGGAGGUCAUUCAUUUGUGCAAGGUCAUGGCAUAAACUAGCCCCUUCCAGCACUUUCUAGCACUCUGUCCUCUCCUCGAGAAUUCCCAUACAGUGCUAUUUACUAUUGUACCACUCAUUUGUUAUCAAAGGUCCUCACACAAUGGGGGUCAGAACCCAUGUCCACCCUGGAACUCUGGCUCGUUGACCACUAAACCUCUUAACUGACACAGUGAAUACAUGAAUGAAUGAAUGAGCACACAAAGAAAUGUGAAGAAAAUGAGGAGGCUAUGCAUGCUGACUCGGUUUCAUUCAUAUUUCCUCAGUUUAUCCAUGGAAGUUUCCUUGUCUAUACUUUAUGAAUUCAGAUUGAUUCCUGCUUCUGGUCAGUCUAGACAAAAAGGAUAAUGGGCAGAGAGAGGAAACUCUUUCUCAAGUGUAAUUUCCAGUGGAUGUGCUUUAGAAUCAUCAGAAGGGGAUUGGAUACUAUGGGGAGCGGCUUGGUAAAAAGCAGAUUUCUGGGUUAUGGCUCAGAUUUCCUAUUUCAGAAUUUGAGGGAUGGGGGAUGCCAUAGUGAGGUGAAUCUGAACUCUCAACGAGCUUCCCUACUGAUCCUCACACUAAAAUCUGAAGUCAGUAUGUUCUCUGACAAAAAUGUGAGAUUUGACCUUCUCUUUAAUGAGUCCAGCCAAUCUAGGGCACUGUCCAUGGUACCAGAGAUGGUUUUAUAGGUCAUGUGCAGAAAAAUCCAAAAAUUACCAAAAGGGAUCCUUUUUACUGGGAGUUAUCUGCUUCUGAACUGAAUUGUAAACAUUAUAAUUCUUAACAUCUAGGAAAUUAGAAGCAAGAUUUCUGGGUGAAACAAGCUUGAAGGGAUGGAGACACUACUGCUCUGAGUCUAGAGUGGUUUAUGACUGAUAAGGAUUUUUAGGACUAGAAAAUAGGGCUGUGAGGUUAAUAGAACUAGAAUAUUUGGGGGGAGUGUUGGUAAUUUUUUGAUGGCUUAUUUUAUAUUGGAAUAUAGCCAUUUAACAAUGUUUUAUGAAGAAGGCUGAACACGAAAGAAUUGAUGCUUUUGAACUGUGGUGUUGGAGAAGACUCUUGAGAGUCCCUUGGACUGCAAGGAGAUCCAACCAGUCCAUUCUGAAGGAGAUCAGCCCUGG
ensembl:lncRNA